AUUGAACGCUGGCGGCAGGCUUAACACAUGCAAGUCGAACGGUAACAUAAAGAAGCUUGCUUCUUUGAUGACGAGUGGCGGACGGGUGAGUAAUGCUUGGGAAUCUAGCUUAUGGAGGGGGAUAGCUACGGGAAACUGUAGCUAAUACCGCGUAGAAUCGGGAGAUGAAAGUGUGGGACCUUCGGGCCACAUGCCAUAGGAUGAGCCCAAGUGGGAUUAGGUAGUUGGUGAGGUAAAGGCUCACCAAGCCGACGAUCUCUAGCUGGUCUGAGAGGAUGACCAGCCACACUGGGACUGAGACACGGCCCAGACUCCUACGGGAGGCAGCAGUGGGGAAUAUUGCGCAAUGGGGGCAACCCUGACGCAGCCAUGCCGCGUGAAUGAAGAAGGCCUUCGGGUUGUAAAGUUCUUUCGGUAGCGAGGAAGGCAUUUAGUUUAAUAAACUGGAUGAU
rnacentral:rRNA from 1 species